UUAGUUGCCAGCAUUCAGUUGGGCACUCUAAGGCGGACUGCCGGCUAAAAGUCGGAGGAAGGUGGGGGAUGACGUCAAAUCAUCAUGCCCUUAUGACCUGGGCUACACACGUGCUACAAUGGGCGGUACAAAGGGUCGCGAACCCGCGAGGGGGGAGCCAAUCCCAAAAAGCCGCUCUCAGUUCGGAUUGCAGGCUGCAACUCGCCUGCAUGAAGCCGGAAUCGCUAGUAAUCGCGGAUCAGCAUGCCGCGGUGAAUACGUUCCCGGGCCUU
rnacentral:rRNA from 1 species